AUUCCUUUUAGAGAGAAUCCAGAGAAGCAGCUAAAUUUAACCGAAGUGUUGGCUGAGGCAGUGAAGUGUGCACAAGCUCUCAAGACUGAUGAAAUGAUUACUGACACUAGAGUUAAGGAAGCUUUUGCAGAGCUGAUGAAUAAAGUGUACCCGCGUCUACCUGAGAGCCUACAGGAUCAACUGAUUGCUGAUUUCAGACUCAACAUCCUCCGUCGGGCGCAAGAGAAAAAUACUCCCCUGGUUGAGUUGAUGGAUGGCGAACAGAAGAACUUCCUCGGGAAGAAAAGAACUCAUACCAACACCUUGUGGAUUAUAGAAAAGCUAGUCUUGUUAGUUGGCGUAUGCUGCUUCGUGUACCUCAUGAGCCUCUAUGUCACUGGGUACUGAACACAGAAAGGGGGAAAUGAAUAUUUGCACAUGGGGAUUCAGUUGCUUUGGACAAGGACAACAACAAUCUUUCAGCGCAGCACAAGGAUGGGCUCUGCUCUGGUGGCAUGUAGAAUUUGCAUGGCUGGAGAGGUAGUGAUUUAGAUGUGUCUGUCUCAUGCGUCAACUUUGAAGUGAACCUCUAGAAAUAUAUAGCAGCGUGGCGUCAUCUUGUUAUUUUUCUCAUGGUGCAAGAUCAAGUCUUGAACUAAUGGUUCUGUUGCUGAAUCUUUCAGCUGUUUAGUCAUCUUAAUCAGUCAAGCUCCAAGGUGGUUUGAGAUAUUUCGACAUAUGCUAGCACAUCGGGCAUGGAUAGCAUAUGACAUUCACAUUGUUCAGUUUCUGUUGAUUUUCAUUAUUGUUCUGCA